UGGGCCGUUAGCUCAGUCGGUAGAGCAUCGCCCUUUUAAGGCGGUGGUCGAAGGUUCGAAUCCUGCACGGCUCAA
rnacentral:tRNA from 1 species